UGUACUUUCGCUUUCGCUUUAUGUGUUCACCAGUUGUGUAAACGUGGUUAUAUAACGCAGAAAGUUUGCCUCAGCCACAUUUGAGCUUUUCGGGACUUUUUCAAGUUAAGUCUUUUCAUUCUUCAGAUUUACAUUUACUACCAGAACCUGUGCCGUUAGACCUUUAUCAUUUGGCCAUGGAAUUUCUGAAGUCAUACAAGGAGGACCUGUGCAAGUGGUUAUCGACGAAGGAUGCUGAGUUUAUCAUUGACAAGUGUGACGAUCUCCUCACAGCUAAACAGGAUAAGGCUAUUCGCAAUCAAAACACGCAUCCAGGGAAGAUCAGUCUUCUUUUGGAGACAUUCAUUGAAAUGGAAGAAAGUACAUGUCAGGACUUCCUUAAGAUUCUGAAGGAAGAGCAGACACAUUAUCCAGGCCUUCAACAACAUUUCAGCAAGCGCACACAAGCUUCAUCCAGCCCAACGGUGUAUGCGGAUUGCAACAGCACUGUUGAUACCAGGAAAGUCACCAAUGUCCACGGUAUUAAAGACUUAGACAUGCAUGUAACCGUUCAAGCAGGAUCGAGGAAUCGAUCUGGAAUGAACGUCAGCCAACCACCCCCACACGCAGAAGUGGUUGCAACAGAACACAGCCAUAUAUUUGCAUCAGAGAUAUCGAACUGUACAAUCGAUGGCAACCUCAAUAUGUCUGUGAUGCAGGUCCCAGCCCCUCAGGCCCCACGGUGUCCAGUGCCACCAAAGCAAACAGAAGAUGUGUCCUCUUCUCAGGGCCCUGCCAUGAAAAUGAUCAUUGAGAAUAAGGUGAAACUCAUCGACUGGCUCCGAGCAGAUUCUGGCUUCAUUCUUCAACAUGUGCACUCCAAACGUAUUGUUACCGAUAGAGAGUAUCAAGAGCUGAAGAGCAUCUCAGUACCAGAGGCUGCUGUGACUGACCUGAUUGACAAGAUGAUUCUCAAAAAGGAAGAGACAUGCUCUCAGUUUCUUGAUACUCUCAAAGAAAGUGAGGUGAAGGAUACCUAUCCCGAACUUAAGAAGUGGAUUACCACCACAUUCUGACUAGGACCAUCACAGCCCAACAACAUGACAUAUUCUCCAUCGAUCUCUUCAAUUUCAGACAAACGUGGGUUUUUGAAAAGAAACCGCACAGCUCUGGUUAGCCAGGUGAAAAACGUGAAGGCCAUUGUCGAUGAUCUGCAGAGUGGAGGUUGUCAUGAUGAAAUGGCUGCCAACGUGAAUGCCCAGUUGACACCACAAGAAAUGAUGAGGAAGCUCCUGGAUAGCGCGACCAGCACCGGGGCUGCUAACGCCCUGAUUCAAGCCCUUUUAACUCAUCAGAAGGAUGUCAUGGAUGACCUGAUUGCUGAAAAUGCUUGAAGAGGUCAAUUGGUUCUUCAUUAUAAUUGAUCUAUUUUUUUACAUCACUUUCUUAUUCAUCUUAGCCACCAGCCUGGUCUCAUAGACUAGUAAACUUACAUCUGGGACACUCAGAAUAGUAUAAUAUGCUACAGUACAUUUGGUACUGUAUGUUUACAUUAAAUGAAUGUAGAGUGGUUGGUUAGGGUGGAUGAGUAUGAUGCAACCUGUCAACUACUUACUACUUUGAACCUACUUAGCAUGUUAGCUAACCCUUCCCCUAAUUCUUAACCCUAAUCUUAACUCCUAACACUAACCCUAGCUAACAUUAGCCACAACAAAUUGGAAUUCAUAACAUAUCAUACGUUCUGCAAAUUGGUAACAUAUAUUACAUAUUGAAAUUCAUCACAUAUCAUACAAAUUGUAAUUUGUAACAUAUCAUAGGAAAUGGAUGAUGGACAUCCACAAAUUAAUACAUUCCAUAGGAAAGGUAACAUAUCAUACUAAUUGGCUGUCCCAGAUAUAUAUUUACUCUGUUACGUCUACCCCUGAGUCCAGGUUGUUGCCACAUGUAAUUAUUGGUGGUGGUGCUAUUUUUUAUUGACAAAACCGGGACAAUAUAAUCUUUUAAGGGAAACAUUUUUAUAAAUAAUGCAAGACAAUAUAUUUUGAUUAUGUUGACUAUGGUUCUUUACAUUCCAAAUAUAUAAUGUAACGGUGCAGUUUGAAGAUUUACCACCACAUGACCUUUAAAUUAAAUGUUGUUGAACUACUUACGUUGUCAACCUCCAAGAAGGAGAGGUCCAAUAAAUUAGACUGAAAUAAACGUCUGUAGGCCUAUAAACAUCUGUAGGCCUAUAAACAUCUGUAGGCCUAUAAACAUCUGUAGGCCUAUUGUAACGGAAUUCUUUGUCCUCCGCUGGCGAGUAUGAAAUGUCGUACCAAUGUGCAGCGUGGUAUGUGUUAAUGAUGAUUUCUUUUACUGAACACUGAAAAUAAACAAAAACCGAAACAGUC